rnacentral:rRNA from 1 species
CAGCCGCCACGGUAAUACGUAGGGUGCGAGCGUUAAUCGGAAUUACUGGGCGUAAAGCGCACGUAGGCGGCUUUGUAAGUUAGAGGUGAAAGCCUGGGGCUCAACUCCAGAAUUGCCUUUAAGACUGCAUCGCUUGAACGUCGGAGAGGUGAGUGAAUUCCGAGUGUGGAGGUGAAAUUCGUAGAUAUUCGGAAGAACACCAGUGGCGAAGGCGGCUUACUGGCUCAUUCUAGACGCUGAGGUGCGAAGGCUAGGGGAGCAAACGGGAUUAGAUACCCCUGUAGUCCCUGUCUCUUAUACA